GACGAACGCUGGCGGCGUGCUUAACACAUGCAAGUCGAACGGAAAGGCCCUGCUUUUGUGGGGUGCUCGAGUGGCGAACGGGUGAGUAACACGUGAGUAACCUGCCCUUGACUUUGGGAUAACUUCAGGAAACUGGGGCUAAUACCGGAUAGGAGCUCCUGCUGCAUGGUGGGGGUUGGAUAGUUUCGGCGGUUGGGGAUGGACUCGCGGCUUAUCAGCUUGUUGGUGGGGUAGUGGCCUACCAAGGCCUUGACGGGUAGCCGGCCUGGGGGGGUGACCGGCCACAUUGGGACUGGGAUACGGCCCGGACUCCUACGGGAGGCGGCAGUGGGGAAUAUUGCACAAUGGGCGGAGGCCUGAUGCAGCAACGCCGCGGGCGGGAUGACGGCCUUCGGGUUGUAAACCGCUUUCGCCUGUGACGAAGCGUGAGUGACGGUAAUGGGUAAAGAAGCACCGGCUAACUACGUG
rnacentral:rRNA from 1 species